GUAGGUGGCAAGCGUUGUCCGGAAUUAUUGGGGCGUAAAGCGCGCGCAGGUGGUUCGUUUAAGUCUGAUGUGAAAGCCCCCCGGGCUCAACCCGGGGGAGGGUCAUUGGAAACUGGGGAACUUGAGUGCAGGAGAGGAAAGUGGAAUUCCACGUGUAGCGGUGAAAUGCGUAGAUAUGUGGAGGAACACCAGUGGCGAAGGCGACUUUCUGGCCUGUAACUGACACUGAGGCGCGAAAGCGUGGGGAGCAAACAGGAUUAGAUACCCUGGUAGUCCACGCCGUAAACGAUGAGUGCUAAGUGUUGGGGGGUUUCCGCCCCUCAGUGCUGCAGCUAACGCAUUAAGCACUCCGCCUGGGGAGUACGGUCGCAAAGACUGA
rnacentral:rRNA from 1 species